UUGUUUGUGUUUGUUUUGUUUUGUUUUGUUUUUUUUCUUCCUUGUAUUAAUGUAAUUCUGAUCAUAAUUACACCAAAGAAAAAGAAAACAAAAAGCCCCAGAAUCUCAGGAGGGAGAGGAUGUGUGCUUUCAAAGAUGCAACAACCAACUCUUUCUUCAUUGUGCCAGAAGAUGCAUCCAUGAAUUUAGGCUUUUUUGUUUCAGAAGCGGCAGUAGACCUAAUGGACCUAAUGGACCUAUACACUUACUGAGUCUGGAGAAUAGCACAAUAGACUCUGAAAACAGAGCCUUUGAAACCCUUAUUUGUUACUAUAUGCACAUAGCACUUUGGAAAUCCAUGCAAACAUCUAUUAAUUUUUACAGUAAACAGUAUAGAAUAUUUCAAGUUGGAUAAAAGACAAUUUAUUUCUUGCUAUUUGUUGAUAAUUUUAUACUUUGUAUUAUCUUUCAUUCUUUGUUCCCAUGUCCAUUUAUUUCUUCUCUUGCUCUAAAUAAAAGUGC